CCUGCAGUGUUCUGUGCAGAGAACGCAAAGAGGGGACAUGAAGGCAUUAUGCUCCAACACAUAGAUGCACACACAUGCAUGCACGUGUGAUGCACACACAUACUCCUCCCAAGGACACUGCAAUGAGAACUGACAAUGUAUCUUAGUAGAAACUCAAACAAAAGAGAGACAAGGAAAUAUGUCCUUUUACUACAAGGACAGUGAAAGGUGAGCAACCCUGACCUCCAGGCCUGCCUGCUACAAUAGGGGUUGGUGGAAUGGUCAAGAUUCAAAGAUGAGCACCUUCCCGAGAAGACAAAAAACAUAACCCGCUGUUGACUCCUCUGCCCUCACUUUAUGAGACCCAGUGGACGCAUCACUGACUUUCCCCAGUAGUCUGCAAGGUAGAUGUCUAUCUCCCUUUUGAAUAAGUGUGCAAACAACAAAUAUGGUAUUUAUAGGACUUUUAUUGGGAAGGUUGGAAAGGAAAAGAGAGAACUGUUCGUGGAGUACCAGUGCCACCUCGUGGUGACUCCUCUCCAUAGCACCUAAUAAGGAGGGACCAGCUUAGUUCUAAUGAUGAGGCUACCUCUCCAUUGUUGAUGGUUUCCUUGCUGUGCAAAGGAUUUUCAAUCUGAUGCAGUCCCAUCUGUCUGUUUUUGUUGUCUGUGCUUCUAGUGUUAUAUCCACAAAAUCACUGCAGAGACCAAAGGAGCCCCCAGGCAUCUAGAGAAUGGCUGGUCUCAUCAGUGCUGAGGUGGGCAAGAGAGAAACCAGUUCCUUCAAAAACCUCCUAUCCCCAGAAGCUAGAACACUGGAUGCAUGCUCCACUCUUCCUUUCUCUGAGGGAGAAGCUGCCAAGUUGUAUCAAUCGCUGCCUCUGUCUGAACUGUGGGUCCUUUGGGGGGCAGCAGCAAGCCUCCCAGCUCUCUUGUAUUCUCAGAUGCAUCCGGGCAUCUAGAGUACACAGAGUCCUGUCAGUGCAUUGAGUCAGCGAGGAUUGGGACAACUGAACCUCUUCACAUCACUGUCCAACAGAGCAGGAAAGCUGCAAGAGGGGCAUCUACAAUCAAAACAGUAGAAGGAAUAUUACUCAGAAUAUUAAAUUGGUUCCAUGUGACAGCUCAUGCUAACGGAGUUUUAAGAUGGACAGUCAUAUCUCCUUACUUUUAACUAAAACACGCACUGAGGCUCUGCUUUGUACUGGCUCUUAUCCACAAAUGCAGCUGCCAAUUUGGGUCCUAUCUCAGUGCAAACCACUCAAUAAACAAAGACCCCCUAUCUUUGUAAGAACAACUUGCACGUCAUUUUUCCUUUAUCCUCCAACCCAUGCGAAAUGAUUGUACCUGUAAGCCAAGUGAUGAAGAGGUACCAAGGAAUGUAGUAAAAUGUAAAUAUUUCCAAUAAUAAUAAUAUUCCCUUAUUGCUCCGAAGACAAUGCCAGAAGACCUAGAAGAUCCAGCUUUGUCACAGAAUGUUUAUCUCUGAUGAAAGUGUUCAGACAGUCUAAUGGGCAAUGAGGUGACAGAUGACACUUUCUAAUUCUGAGAACUGACCUGACAAGCUCAUCAGCGUAAGCUGCAGUGACUUCUUCUUCAGCUUUCCGUUCAUAGUAUUUAUACAGGAUGGUCUGAGGAAGCACCUUCUCCAGCUCACUGGUUGGGAACGAACACGUGCAACUGCCUUCCAUGCAGCUGAGUUCUGACUAAAUUAUAACGUCAGGAGGCCAAAACAAAACAAAACCAAAAAAAAAAAAAAAAAAAAAAGAAGGAAAGAAAAUUCAACUAGGUUUUUAGAAAAACAUAACCUCAGUGGUUCAAUGCAUCCCUCAACAGAAAGCCAAUAAACAGUGGUUAAGAAAGAGACCACAAAGUCCAUCUCUGAUAUAGGACCAGAGGGCCUCUCUCAGUGCAAACCACAAUUAAGAUGGAGAGCAACAAGGAAAAUCACGGGAUAGUAUCUCUCAAGGAAGUAUAUGUCAGAAGAGAGUUGAUUUCCUCCAGAGACCCUAAAAAGACAGGAGGUAUAAGGUAUCAGGGAAGGCAGAGAUAAAUGGUGUAAGAGGGGACUGACAAGAAUAUGGACGAAAAAUAAGAAGGUUGUCUGACAAACCUCUGUCCAGAUCCUGUCCCCUUCAGAUGGUCAGGGGACUAAAACUCUUCCAAGAGAAAGGAAGACAGCCUCUGGGACAGCUGCCCAAGCAGGCCCUAGACAUCGCCUUCAAAGCCAUCAGUAGCACACUGAGUCCUCCUCACAACACAUCACUCCAACUUCCUCUUUUACCUCUCUCAUUCAUUUUUAAGGACCCUUGUGAUUACACUGGGCCCAUCUGGAUAAUUCAGGAUGCUCUCCCCAUUUCAAGGCCACCUGACCAGCAACCUUAAGUCCCCUCCACCAUGUAAGCUCUCAAGUCUGGGAACAGGAAGCGAAUCACCAUGUGCUGAUACACCUCUGCAAGGGAAGCACUCUGUGUGGGCCUCAAGACCCCUCAUAACAUGUAAUUCUCAUGGCAACUCUCUGAGGGAGGGGUUCUUUUGCAACAGAGGAAGAAGCAGCCAAGAAGUGUGUGGCCCCACCAGGAAGACUAAGUAGAGCACCUUUCGGGUGAUUGCAUAGUGUCCUUUGAGCUCAUGCAGGGCCCACUUGAUGUCCUGACUACUGAGCAUUUUGAAGUCGGCCAUCAGGAGGUCAGCAGCUUGGAUGAAACAACGCUGGUCAAGAGGAGCCAAUUUAGAGUAGUCAAAAAAGUCUAUUUUAGGCAACUGAAACGAGAGAGAGAGAGAGAGAGAGAGAGAGAGAGAGAGUGAGUGAGAGGCACAACAUUAGGAGGCCAGAUAGGGCCUUUCCCAUGAGGGGGUAUCACUUCAAGAACUGCUUAUUACAAAAUAGAAUCAUUUCCCUUGUAUUCAUGAUUACUUUAUAGAGGUUACCAGCCCUGCAUAGAGAUGAAGAAACUGGUGGUUCAGAGAUGUUAACAAGCUGUCUGGAGUCUGGAGACUAGUUGUGCCAGUCAAAACUAGUAAUUAUAGCUACAGAUUUGAGACCCAUCUUUUAGCCAUAUUCUUUCCAUAAAAAAAUGUUUAGGAAAGACUAGCCUUUCUCUUGCUACAGAAGACAUAAAGAUAAUUUAAAGAAUGUAUGGGGAAUAGAAGGACUGAGUAGUCAUGAAGCAGUUCUGAUCUAGACUCUCCUUCACCACCUGACACACUAAAUUCUAGUUAGGAUUACAAAUAAAAAUGAGUAAGGUUUUAAAAACUCAAACUGUUCACAUCUUGAUACAGGAUUUGGUUAUAUAGGUGUAUGUAUGUACUGUAUAUAAAUCUUACAUCAAAAGAAAACCUAUAAACAUACUGAACUCUAGGUGAUGAAAUAAACGCUGAAGUAUAUAUGGGGCAGCAUAUUGAUGUUUUUGUGAUUUACUCUGAAAUGCAUCAAAAUAAAAUGAAAUAUGUGAGAUGUACUGAUGGGCAGAGGAGAGGGAUGGAUAUGUGACAAAGUGGAUAUAAUAAAAUGUUAACUUUUAAUAGUACUGCUGGUAGAUAUAUAGGUGAUCAGUGUAAAAUUCUUUUGGCUUUACUGUAUGUUUGAAAAUUUUUAAUAAAAUAUUAAAAAAAAAAAACCAACCUAAA